GCUUAUCACCAUUCCAGAUUGAAUAUACCCGAUCUCGUCUGAUCUCGGAAGUCCAGCAUCUCCGGGCUUGGUAGUACUUGAAUGGGU
rnacentral:rRNA from 1 species